CAGUCGCCGCGGUAAUACGUAGAGUGCAAGCGUUAAUCGGAAUUACUGGGCGUAAAGCGUGCGCAGGCGGUUCGCUAAGACAGAUGUGAAAUCCCCGGGUUUAACCUGGGAACUGCAUUUGUGACUGGCGGGCUAGAGUAUGGCAGAGGGGGGUAGAAUUCCACGUGUAGCAGUGAAAUGCGUAGAGAUGUGGAGGAAUACCGAUGGCGAAGGCAGCCCCCUGGGCCAAUACUGACGCUCAUGCACGAAAGCGUGGGGAGCAAACAGGAUUAGAUACCCGCGUAGUCCCUGUCUCUUAUAC
rnacentral:rRNA from 1 species